GAAUCCGCUAAGGAGUGUGUAACAACUCACCUGCCGAAUGAAUUAGCCCUGAAAAUGGAUGACGCUGAAGCGGAUAGCCGACACCACACCGUCUGAGCAAAGUGGCUUUCAGAUGAGUAGGAGGGCGUGGCGGUCGUGUGGAAGCGUUCGUGCGAACGGGCGUGAAACGGCCGCUAGUGCAGAUCUUGGUGGUAGUAGCAAAUAUUCAAGUGAGAUCCUUGAAGGACGAAGCGGGGAAGGGUUCCACGCGAACAUUGAUUGGGCGUGGGUGAGUCGUUCCUAAGCCGAGUGGCCAUUGCUAAAUAACGGCGAAAGGGAAGCGGGUUGACAUUCCCGCACACGGAUGUGGAGGCGGCGACGCCUUAAUGGGGUGAUUACGUUGGCGGUGGCUCUGGGCAGAGUUGUCUUUUCUGUUUGACCGUCAGUGUGCGCUGUGUGGAAUCCGCUUGUCGGGAGAAACACGCGUGCACGGGCAGAGCGCCGGGGCUUUUCCGGCGUCCAGAUCGCCACCGACGACCCUUGAAACAUCACCUGCUGGACAACCACUUGUUGUUUGUAAAAUCCACGCCGUGGCGUACCGAUCACCGCAUCAGGUCCCCAAGGUGAACAGCCUCUGUCCGAUAUGAAUAAUGCAGGUAAGGGAAGUCGGCA
rnacentral:rRNA from 1 species